AGAGGGUGAUCCUGCUGCUCAGCUCACAGGGGCCUGUGUGUGUGGCAGCUCCGUCUGGACCCUGUUGGCCCUUCUCAUGGGAGGCUUGAGGACACAGCCAGCAUGGGAGGACUCUAGGGCCCUCUCAGGGGAGAAGACCAAGGAACUCCACCGUCACUCCAGGCUGGCUUGCCCUGGAAUUCUUUUCUGCGGUGUAGUCAAGAAUUCCAUCCCAGCUUCACCUGAGUGGAGGUCUCGGAAGAAUUCACAGGCUGCUGCAGGUGGCUGCGUGGAGCAGUUUGUCUGGCCUGGACUGCACAGCCUGUGACAAAGCCAGUGUGCUGUGUGCUGUGUGAGAGCUGAGUGCUAAGGAAAGGGAGUGAGGAAAGGUUGAAGAAGGAGGAAAGCGCCUCCCCCCAACUCUGAAGGGUGUUGGGAUAGGGGUGCUGUGAGCUGGGGGUUCAGAGUAGAAGCUCUGAGUGCUAUGGGGGGGGCAGUUAUGACAAACCAUCAGGGGCACAGGGAGGUGGGAUCCACUCUCAGAGUUUUCCUCCAUGUCCUGCUUUUCUUGAGGCCUCCAGAGCCCCAGGAGGUGCUGGUGCAGAUCCAAGUGGGUCAGAACUCACAGUCAGCCACCCCUCUUUCCCUUCCACUAAAUUCUCCACAGCCUUCCAUGGUCAAACCACUGGAGAAAUGGACUAACUAGGGCUAAGGUUUCAAGUUUCUCAGGCCAGGUUGUGGCAGUGUAUGGGGACAUGCACUCAGACUAACAGUAGGAGCAAUUCAUAAUGCAUGGGAAUAGUCAAGAAUGGUGCAGUCUGACCAAGUCACAAGAAGCUCAGCACUGGACAGAUCCGUCAAGUAGCCCAGGAGGGCAGUGGGAAGGACCAGUAUCCCAUAUAUACCAAUCAUGUGGUUUGGGCUGCCCACAAGGGAUGUCACAUUGAGCAAGUUCUUUCUACCAUGGGUGGUGACCAGAUCCUCAGCCACAGUGGGUCUUUGUUGGCUAAUGCAGGAAUCUGUGAUUUCUGACCACUGUUAUAAGAGCACCCAACGUUAUUAAGAAACCCCCAGUUCUGGGCCAAAUGAAUGGUAGGCAGGCUUUCAAACACACACACAUUCAUGACCCCCUCCUAUAUAUAUAUAUAUAUAUAGUCAUGAAGCCAGGCUGGCUUUGAAUUCCUAAUAAUAUCUCUAUGCCCCAAGUGCUGGGAUUGCAUGUAUAGAUCACCAUGACUCCAAAACAAACAGCAAACUAGACUUUGCCAUGCAAAGGGCUUCCCUCAACAUAAGGUGACAGGGAAGUCACUGACAUCUUACUGAAGGGGAAAGCAGGAGACAGAUAAUGGCAGUAGUGUGGAGAGAAAGGGUAGAGACUACGGGGCUAAAAGACUACCGCUUACAAUGAAGUAGAAGAGCUGGAGAGGUAGCACGGCAGGGCUGUGUAUCAAGUAGACCAAAGUGAUAGAUUUGCUCCUACAAGCCUACGUUGUUUCCUCGGAUUCUGAGACAUAGCCUUAGUUACUCCUGCUGGGCUCUCCUGAGGCCAAGUUUUUCCUCAGAAGCAGAAUGUCAGGCAGGCUGGUCAUCUGAGGCUCCCACUUCCUCCCUGUCCCAGUGACUUCGAUGGCUGCAUCCUGGAAACAUCUCUUCAGUAAAUCUUUUGUGACUAGCUGUCAGCCAUCACUUUCCUAAACCACCAGAUGCCACCAGCAGUGACAUCAUCAGGAGCCACAGGCUCUGCACCAGCACAGCUGAGACUGGAGGAAAUACAGAAGGCCUCCAUCUUGGCCCAUCUCUUCACUACUGGAAACAUGUCCCUGUGUGGACUUGAAAGGCGCAUGUGCCUAGACCCUCUGUGGCCCAGCUAUGACAGGACUACAUGUCCCUAAGAUCAUUUCAGGAAGAGAGCAGAGGCCAGAAUGUGGGGAAAUUGCCACAUGUCCAGUGAAAUCUCUGUAACAUUUUUAUUAACUGUAUUCAACUAAAAACAAAUGACACAAACCAUCUGGUUUGUUUAAUAAAUUGAGCAUCAUAAACAGCU
rnacentral:lncRNA from 1 species